UACGGAGGGUGCAAGCGUUAUCCGGAUUCACUGGGUUUAAAGGGUGCGUAGGCGGGCAGGUAAGUCAGUGGUGAAAUCCCCGAGCUUAACUUGGAAACUGCCAUUGAUACUAUCAGUCUUGAAUAUUGUGGAGGUCAGCGGAAUAUGUCAUGUAGCGGUGAAAUGCUUAGAUAUGACAUAGAACACCAAUUGCGAAGGCAGCUGGCUACACAUAUAUUGACACUGAGGCACGAAAGCGUGGGGAUCAAACAGG
rnacentral:rRNA from 1 species